rnacentral:rRNA from 1 species
UACGUAGGGGGCUAGCGUUGUCCGGAAUCAUUGGGCGUAAAGAGCGUGUAGGCGGUCCGGUAAGUCCGCUGUGAAAGUCGGGGGCUCAACCCUCGAAUGCCGGUGGAUACUGUCGGGCUAGAGUGCGGAAGAGGCGAGUGGAAUUCCUGGUGUAGCGGUGAAAUGCGCAGAUAUCAGGAGGAACACCUAUUGCGAAGGCAGUUCGCUGGGACGUAACUGACGCUGAGACGCGAAAGCGUGGGGAGCAAACAGG